rnacentral:lncRNA from 1 species
AAAUUAUUUUUUUUAAGAUAGUGCUUUAGCUCAGGUGCUCGUGUCUAAAUACAUGUAAAAGGAGAAUUCGUUUUCUCGGCAACCACUGCACCAAAUUUGACGAGGUUUGUUGCAUUUAAAAGAAACACUUAAUAUCUGGUGACUGUUUGUUUCGAAUGUUAGAUUUACUUCGUAAAUUUGUAUUC